GAUGAACGCUGGCGGCGUGCCUAAUACAUGCAAGUCGAGCGAAUGGAUUAAGAGCUUGCUCUUAUGAAGUUAGCGGCGGACGGGUGAGUAACACGUGGGUAACCUGCCCAUAAGACUGGGAUAACUCCGGGAAGCCGGGGCUAAUACCGGAUAACAUUUUGAACCGCAUGGUUCGAAAUUGAAAGGCGGCUUCGGCUGUCACUUAUGGAUGGACCCGCGUCGCAUUAGCUAGUUGGUGAGGUAACGGCUCACCAAGGCAACGAUGCGUAGCCGACCUGAGAGGGUGAUCGGGCACACUGGGACUGAAACACGGCCCAGACUCCUACGGGAGGCAGCAGUAGGGAAUCUUACGCAAUGGACGAAAGUCUGACGGAGCAACGCCGCGUGAGUGAUGAAGGCUUUCGGGUCGUAAAACUCUGUUGUUAGGGAAGAACAAGUGCUAGUUGAAUAAGCUGGCACCUUGACGGUACCUAACCAGAAAGCCACGGCUAACUACGUGCCAGCCGCCGCCGUAA
rnacentral:rRNA from 1 species